UAUGCAGAAAGAAAUAGGUCAAUAUUCUUAGGCAAGAAAGAAGUGACGAGGCAAAGGAAUUGGUUCGGUCAAACGACGUUUCGUUAAUAUCGAUUCUUGCCCGAGCCCAAACCCCGCUCUCUUAGUUAUGCACGCCACCGCGAUUUCUUCCUCCUCUUCCGCCACCAUCUGCCGCAGCUUUCCUCGUGGGUUCCAGCCUCGGCACCCACCUCGCCAUGGGUGUCACGGAAAUGUCCCUGUUAAUUUGAUAUGAUCAAGAGUUCGCCGGAGGCCAUACUGCAGAACUGCACGGUUACCAGCUCUGAAACCAUCUCCAUAUGCUGAUGCCGAAGAGGAUGAGGUGGAUGCAACAUUGUUGCCAGACCCUGAGAUGAUCUGAGAGUCCAGCCACAUGUGCGCCAGAACCUGACAGAUGCCUUCUUCAACUUCUUGGCUAAGAGAACGAUAUCCUGUAAGACAAUCAGAAGAUUAUUUAGUAAAAUUAAUAGAGAGCAAAACUGAACCAAUGCACAUGCUGUGAACUACAAUGUGAAAUGACAAGGGCUAUUUUGUACUUGAGAUUUCAAUGCCUUAGAUGAAUUAUGAAAUUUUUAUUCAUAAA